GCGGCCGGAACCUCCUGUUGGGUGGGCGGUCCCCGAGGCCGUGGAGGUUGGCGGCUGUUGAGCGGGUCUCGUGGAAAAGUCCUCGAGCGGACCAUCUCUGUCGGGAGAGAACAUGAGUUUAGCCUUGAGAAGUGAGCUUGUAGUAGACAAAACAAAGAGGAAAAAACGAAGAGAGCUCUCUGAAGAACAGAAGCAAGAAAUCAAAGACGCGUUUGAGCUCUUUGAUAGCGACAAAGACCACGCCAUAGAUUAUCAUGAAUUAAAGGUGGCAAUGAGAGCCUUGGGUUUUGAUGUGAAAAAAGCCGAUGUACUGAAGAUUCUUAAAGAUUAUGACAGAGAAGCCACAGGCAAAAUCACCUUUGAAGAUUUUAAUGAAGUUGUGACAGACUGGAUAUUGGAAAGAGAUCCACAUGAAGAAAUCCUGAAAGCAUUUAAACUAUUUGAUGAUGAUGAUUCAGGUAAAAUAAGCUUGAGGAAUUUGCGACGUGUUGCCAGAGAACUGGGUGAAAACAUGAGUGACGAAGAACUCCGGGCUAUGAUAGAAGAAUUUGAUAAGGAUGGUGAUGGAGAAAGAUGGAGUGAUGUCUUGCCAGAGGCCGGGCAAAGAUGAACACAGUCACCUAUGGAAGUGGUAGUGGGUAACUGUAUAAACACAUGCAGAAGAUUUGUCUUGGAAGUCUGUUCAGGCAACCCUCAUGGACACAGGGAGAAUAACAGCAAAAGUCUAAAUAGAAAACACUAAUUUUCACUCAGUGCUUGCACAGUAUUGUAUUUUUCAGAGUAUUUUGUGUACAUUACCUCAUGCGGUUGAGUAAGUCUGCUCUGAAGGAAGAUCGGAAAUAGAACUUUUUCACUGAUUAGGAAAUAAAGAAUCUUUAUUCUAAAUGAAAACUAGGUUCAGAAAAUCGAACUUUUUUUCUUUUCCCUUGUGUGGUUUCCAGUAAAAUAUAAAACAUUUGUCUCCUUUUCCCUUCUCUCAAAGAGGAAAAAAAAAAAGAAAAAGAGAAAGAAAAAGAAAAGAAAGGAAAACACAGAGAAAAACUAGGAAAGCCGCUUGCUACCCUAAACACGAGUUAUCAGGUUUUGAAGAACGCACAUUCCCCGGGUCAGAAGGUCUUGCUGGUGGCAGCUGGGCACGAGAAGAAGGGUAAUGGCAAACACUGUAGAGGACCCUGGAAAUGGACUGUUUCUGUUUUUCUUCGUUUGCUGCCUCAUCAGAUGGCAACUCACAUGCCUCGUUUUAGUCUGUCCCCGGCCCUGAGUCUAUUCCCUUCAUCUUUGGUUUCAUGCUCUGAGUUCCCCCUCCCCCAAUCUAAUGUCACUGUCACCUCUCCUCCAUCGUGGAGCACCAGGGUGCGCUUAAGCUGCUCAGUGGGCCCUUUCACAUCAUUCGUCGGGGAAUUCAUUUAGGAAAAUACAGCUAGGGAAAAGGGGAUUGGUGAGAGCCCUUGAAAUCCUGUGUGUCACCUGACGGUUACCUACUCCUGGAACACCCUCAGAUAUAAUCUGAAAAACUGAUGAUCGGCAUGUAGCUGCCUGUUUACCUGUAAGCGAAGAACAUACAAAAUGACUGAAGUGGUGGAAGUGGCUGUGUGAUAUGCUUUUAUGUUUUCUGAAUACAAAAUAGAAAUCUGAAUAUAAGAUAAUUUUUGACAGCUGCUGAUAACAUCUGAGAGAUAAUUUAAUUUGUCUGCAACUAAAGCAGCAGAAAUAAAUAAAUAAAUAAAGGAAACAGGAAGAGUCUCCGGUUUGUUUGAUGGACACCAGCCCAUGUGGAUGAGUGGUCUGAGGGAACACGGUACCUAGUUGGCAAGUUUCCUGAGGGAGCUGACCAUGGCUGCACUUCAAGGUUAUGUUUGUUGAAAAUAAGAAACACACACAAAUACGUCUCAUGAGGUUGAGGAUUCAUGGAGAACCUGACAUAGUACUCACAAACCAUCUUUGACUUGGAUAUUGGAGAGAAUUUUUAAGAAUUUCCUCAUGACACCUUUCUUGCCCUGUAGGUGACCAAGAAGUAUCAGUUUCAUUUAGAUUCCAAAGAAAAUGGAAAGCGGACCAGUUCUGUGAGAUGCUCAUUGUCUUGAGCUCAGACACAGAGGCUGCGUCUCUCAGUGGCGAUGUACUGUAUCCUUGCCCCAAACAAUCUUUUUCUAGCUCUGUAUAAAUUACCUGCCUGGCAAAAUGAGGAGUAAAGCUGCGAGCAAAAAUACACUUCUGUGGGUGUGAGUGUGUUCGUGGCCAAAUAGAGUUUGGACUUCUUCCAUUAGCAGGAAUGCCUGGUGGUAGUACUAACUUUAAAACCCGGGGCUGUCAACAAACAGAAGGCGCCUGGCUGAGCAGGAUCAGGCAAGAGGGGAGAGAUGGGAAAAACAGGCAGAGACUUCAAAGCAGUCACCCCUAAACCCCAAAAGGAAACACUUGGGACGGGAAACUUUUCUCAGGGUGAGGCUCAUCCUUUGUCUCCGUUUCACCAAAGACUCCACUCUCUGUCCUGUUCUCCUUCUUGGUUUAUCUGGAAAGUCCAGGCAGGAGGACUGGACCAUCAGAUUCCAGCGAAAAGGCUGGGAUCAUUGCCAAUAUUCUUGCCUCUCUUGAGAUCAUUGAGCACAUCCUGGGGUCCUCCCCUGGCUCCCCUGCUUUAUUCUUCAAUGGUGUCUUUCCUUCUUGGCUGUCUUUCUUUCUCAUCUUUCUCACAGCAGGUCUAGUCAUACAGGUGCUUGAUAUUAUGAACUGAAGCUUUUCUCAAGAAAAAAAAAAAAAAAAGCCAGACCUAAAUUGAAGCGUCUGCAAGGUGGAUUAGAACUUCACAAUUAUGGCCCGUUGGAGUGCUACAGAUUAAGUGCCGAACUUACCUUGGAUUCUGUUUAGUCCCUGCUGUGGUCCUGUAUUACCCACCUCUAUAUCUGACACAGCGUCCUCUCAACUCUCAGUUUGAACUUCUUUAAAUGUAUUCAUUUAGCAGGUCACUAACUUCCACCAUCUCCAAAGCUUAGCAUGUCAGCUGACAGCAUAAGAAAACUAUAAUAGAGGUUUCUCCACCCUGCUAUAACCCAGCUACCUGCUGUCCUCCAGAGUAUUUGGUAAAGACACUCAACUAUGACUUUCUUUUGUCCUAUGACUAUAAAAAGUCCAUGUAGCUUCCACAUCAGAACGUGCCAUUCGGGGAAGCGGAGGCUGUGGUCUCCGAUAGCCCAGGAAUUAAGGCCAACAACUGACAAGGGGGACCUCAUGAAAGUAAAAAGCUGCUGCCCAGCAGAGGGAAACCAUCAGUUCAGUGAAGAGGAAGCCCACAGAAUGGGAGGCAACACUGUCUAGUUAUACAACCGGUAGAGGAGUAAUAUCCGGAGGUAUGAAGAACUCCAAUAAUGGAGUCAAGAAAACAAAUGGCCCAAUUAAAAAUGCACAACUGAUGUGAACAGAGAGUUCUCAAAAGGAGAAAUAAAAACAACUAACCAAUUAUCACAUAGUAUUCAUUAUCCUUAGUUAUCAUGGAAAUGCUAAUUAAAAUUACUUUGAAAUUUCAUGCUACCACAUGAGAAUAACUAAGGUCAAGAAAACACCUGAAGACAAAUGCUGGUGAAGGCGAGUGGGAAGGGGAGCCUUCAUUCGUGGUCGGUGGGAUUGUAAGCUGGUGAAGGCGAGUGGGAAGGGGAGCCUUCAUUCAUGGUUGGUGGGAUUGUAAACUGGUGAAGGCGAGUGGAAAGGGGAGCCUUCAUUCGUGGUCGGUGGGAUUGUAAGCUGGUGGAGGCAAGUGGAAAGGGGAGCCUUCAUUCAUGGUUGGUGGGAUUGUAAACUGGUGAAGGCGAGUGGGAAGGGGAGCCUCCAUUCAUGGUCGAUGGGAUUGUAAGCUGGUGAAGGCGAGUGGGAAGGGGAGCCUUCAUUCAUGGUCGAUGGGAUUGUAAGCUGGUGAAGGCGAGUGGGAAGGGGAGCCUUCACUCAUGGUUGGUGGGAUUGUAAGCUGGUGGAGGCGAGUGGGAAGGGGAGCCUCCAUUCAUGGUUGGUGGGAUUGUAAGCUGGUGAAGGCGAGUGGAAAGGGGAACCUUCAUUCAUGGUUGGUGGGAUGGUAAACUGGUGAAGGCGAGUGGGAAGGGGAGCCUUCAUUCAUGGUUGGUGGGAUUGUAAACUGGUGAAGGCGAGUGGAAAGGGGAACCUUCAUUCAUGGUUGGUGGGAUUGUAAACUGGUGGAGGUGAGUGGGAAGGGGAGCCUUCAUUCAUGGUCGAUGGGAUUGUAAGCUGGUGAAGGCGAGUGGGAAGGGGAGCCUUCACUCAUGGUUGGUGGGAUUGUAAGCUGGUGGAGGCGAGUGGGAAGGGGAGCCUCCAUUCAUGGUUGGUGGGAUUGUAAGCUGGUGAAGGCGAGUGGAAAGGGGAGCCUUCAUUCAUGGUCGGUGGGAUUGUAAGCUGGUGAAGGCGAGUGGGAAGGGGAGCCUUCAUUCAUGGUCGAUGGAAUUGUAAGCUGGUGAAGGCGAGUGGGAAGGGGAGCCUUCAUUCAUGGUCGAUGGAAUUGUAAGCUGGUGAAGGCGAGUGGGAAGGGGAGCCUUCACUCAUGGUUGGUGGGAUUGUAAGCUGGUGAAGGCGAGUGGGAAGGGGAGCCUUCAUUUGUGGUUGGUGGGAUUGUAAGCUGGUGCAGUCACUCUGGGCAGCAGUGUGGAGAAGUCUCAGAAAGCUAAAAAAUGAAAUGAAAUUCUACCCCAUGACCCAACUAUACCACCCCUUGUCAUCUCCGCAAAGCUCUCAACAUCCUGCCCCACAGAUCCUUGCUCUGUCAUGUUCACUGACGCUCUGUUCAUCACUGCUAGAAACUGGAAACAAUAUAAAUGUCCUUCAGCUGAUGAAUGGGUGAUGAAAAUAUGGUAUGUACACACCAUGGAAUACUAUUUAGAUCUAAAGAAAAAUAAAAUAAUGAAAUUUGCAGGUAUAUGGAUGCUCCCAGAAAGACUAUACUGAGCGAGGUAACCCAGCCUCAAAAAGACACAUGCCACGUGUUCUCUCUUAUUUUUGGAUCAGUAUCUUUUUUUGGGGGGGGUGGUUGAGACAGGGUUUCUUUGUGUAGCUUUGUGCCUUUCCUGGAACUCACUCUGUAGCCCAGGCUGGCCUUGAACUCACAGAGUCCGCCUUCCUCUGUCUCCUGAGUGCUGAGAUUAAAGGCGUGUGCCACCGCCGCCGCCGCCGCCGCCGCCGCCACCACCACCACCACCACCACCGCCCGGCUGGAUCUAUAUCUUUAAGCUAUAUCCUGGAGUAACCACUGACUCCAGGACACUGGAAGGGAGUUGUGAGAGGAGCGAGAGGGGUAGAACUCUAGAAAGAUGGAUAGUAGGACCGAGGUACUACGAAAGGGGAAAUGGAACACUUUGGUGUGCUUUAACUAGGAAGGCAGCAGGGGGGAACUAUAGAGGGAGAGGCUGGGAGGAGGGAUGUAUAACACAAGAAUGUUUGAACAAGCCAUAGGGAGUCAGAUAUUUUAUGUUUACUUAAAGGACAUAAGGAAACUUGCAUUCAUAUAUGUAGCUAUCUAUAGUUAUAUAGUAUAGAUUAUUUCACUUGGAGUGACAAUGCCCCCCCCCAAAAAAAAACCACCAUAGAAUAUCUCACAAAACCCCCAGUGCCAGGCAUGGGAAACCUCAUUUAUAGUGGCUGGUCAGUGGAGUCCAAGCAACUCCCAAAACAAUACAGGCUAUAGCAGGUGGUUUGAUUAACCAAAGCAAGUGGUUAGACCAAAAACACAUUCAUACAGGCAACAUGAAAGGGACCGAGCAAGUUGAAUUCAUAAACUUAUUUGUAUAUGCAUAGUGACAUUAAUUAAAGAGUAAGCAGCCAUGAAUCUAAGAAGUGGGAAGUAUGGGAAGGAGGGUGUAAAUCACGUUAAUACAAUACUCACAUACAAAAUGCUCAAAAAUUAAACAUCUCAUGAAAAACAAAAUAUAAAAUAUUAAUAAAGUCUUGUUCUAAUAUAAUUCUCUCAAAACAAAAUGCAUUGUUUCCUAAUAAGUGAUGACUUUCUUAGUCAGUUUACAUAAUGUUUCUGUUCAGAUUUAAAGAUCAUAGUUAUUUAAUUCACUUUCAAAUUAGGUUUUUGUAAACAUAGGCUACUAAUAGGGUACACUUUGGAUAUCAUCUUGGUAGACCAUUUGUGUGGGUUUAGGUCAACUAAUUUUAAUCUACUGGGGUAUAUUUAUAAAUGGAAAUGCAAUUAGUUUUAAUCCUUAUGUAAGUGUCUCAUUUGCCAAUGUGAAAACUUAAGCGUUUGUCUAAUUAACAAACAGCAGUUUUUUUCUCUUAAUACUCAGCUACUGACCAGAGGAAUAGAUGGAUGACUUCAGAAUUGCAGAAGGAAAUACACAAGACCCAAGGCAAUAUAGUCAUUCUACUGAAGAAAUCAGAAACUAGGGCUGUAUUCUUGGUCUGCGUUGUUGGGUGUUGGACUUCAUCAAUCCUAGAUGUAGCCUAGGGAGCCAGGCAGCAUUUCUUAACAGUAUGCAAGCCUUUCAGCUGUCUCUCAAAUGUCCAUGUUGGCUUAGGGGACAAGACAUCCAAGCAAAGGGCAGAACCCUUAAUUCUCCUUCCUCCCACCAAGAUUAAUCUCUGCAUGGUUAUCAACAGUCACACAAAACCCCAGGACCUGCGAAUCCUGUUCGUGAGUGUGAGUGAUUAAGGUCCACACACCUGAUGGAUGCUGUGGAUUUCACUAGGUUCUGCGAGAUGCUGUGGAUUUCACUAGGUUCUGCGAGAUGCUGUGGAUUUCACUAGGUUCUGCGUUGGGGUUCUGCAGAGAAACUGACCAGUACAUUAAAGAGCCAUGUUCCCGCGGCAUCUCCUGAGUGUUAAGCAAACACUUGUGUAGAAACAGGUCACUCGCUGCGUAGGCUCCUCUCCUUCCUGUGAAGAUACACCAACCAUCCAUUUUCAAACUAGAUUCUGUCUUGAAAACUCAGUGGCCAGCUAUAAAGACGCCAAAUUAUAUGAUGUUUGAGAGAGGCUGUGGACCUACCUUGUGUGAUCAGGGUCUACCUCUGUCAUUUACCAGCUGUUAGCAUUGGACAAAUGACUUGUUCCUUUGUACCUUGGUCUCCAUGACGCCUAACACAGCUGGUAUCAGGAAGAUUAUGACAGCUUGGAUCUGGUGAAGUCUCGUGAUUGUUGGCCAUUAUUGUGUUACUUCACUUCAUCCCUCACUCAAGAGGGUGACCUGUGGCCUCACUUUAUGCCAAAUAUCUGUCAUACUUUUUUUUUUUUGUGGGGAUAUGCCAAGGAAACACUGUGCUUCACGUCUAUGAAUUUCUGGAUAUUUAAUGCAAAUGAAGUAACAACUCUGCGGGGUAGUAUCAUACUAUAAACCUCUCCUUUCCCUCCAGACAACUGCAGUGAGUUUCUAGCAUAUUUUGAGUCACAAGCCACUCACAGUGACCACCAGUUACUGCUGAUCUUAGCAAAGUUUCUGUUUUUUUUUUUGUUUUGUUUUGUUUUUGUUUUUAUAGUCCUCUGUUAAGGGGAGAGCCAAACUUACUUUUGAGCUGGUAGUUUGCUACGAUACCAUCACCUUAAGGCAUCUUCAUGUUAAAGCUGAUGGAUUCUGGGAGGAACAGUCACUUCAGUGUGGCUAGGCUGUCCAGUUCAUGGCCUAUCAAGUGAUUUCACAUAAAGUUAUGUCAAAACCCAGAUUAUGUUGAUACUUGUCCUGGUUUGCUGUGAUAAAGCCAUAACUCAAAGCAAUGUGGGGAGCAAAGGCUUUAUUUCACCUCACAGCUUGAAGUCCAUCAUUGAGGGAAGGGUCUCAAGCUGCAACUUAGAGGAGACGCUAGAUUACAGACAGGUAUCAUCACAUCCACCUUUUUCCCUUGGUGCUGGGGGUCUGCACUCAAGUCCUCCUGCUCGGUCAGCAAGCACUUUACCAACUGAGUCUUCUCCCAAGCCCCCUUUUCUUCACUGAGGCUUGUUUCUUAAGCUGUAAAAGCCGCAGAUUUUAUGUUUAGUUAGAUUAGAACUGACAACUAUGUUCAUGUAAAUAAGCACUGUCAAGAUACAAAGAAUGCCUACAUCUCUGCAACUUACCUUCUUCUUUUCCCUAGUUUCAUAAUUAAUAAAUCCUGUUUUCUUUUUACCCACCUGGCUCUAAGAGCAGAUACUAUCUUCUUUACACUCAAGUUCUGAAGUGGCUGACCUGCCCCAUGAAGCCCAGGGCCCCUCCAUGCCUUCUGUAGGACCCAUGGGUGGUCACAGAGGAGCCUUGGACCCUCCACACCUUCUAUAGGAUCCACGGGUGGUCACAGAGGAGCCUUGGACCCUCCACACCUUCUGUAGGAUCCACGGGUGGUCACAGAGGAGCCUUGGACCCUCCACACCUUCUAUAGGAUCCACGGGUGGUCACAGAGGAGCCUUGGACCCUCCAAGCCUUGUAUAGGAUCCAUGGGUGAUCACAGAGGCCUCUUUAACUUUUCAUAACUGCCAGAGAUUUUUUUACUCUAUGAAACUAUACUGAAGGCUCGUGGACACUAUCAACCAAGAACAACAAAGAUUGUCUUUGCGGGAAGUGAGUCUCACAAAUGAAGGAGACUCGCUUAACUGUGAACAGGUAGUGAUGCUCAGUCAAGCAAAGACGGUGUAAGGAAGGAGUUAACAGAUGGAUGAAAGUCCCCUGGAGAACGUGUUCUCACGACAAGAAAACCAGAAACAAAGCCACAAACCGAUGAGCAAAAGCAAACGACAACAGAUAAGUUUUGUAGAAAGUUUUUUUCUCCCUCUACUCGUCUCUCCCUAGAAUUCAGGAAAGAGGAAAAAAAUUCAAUUCUCUCAGGAAUCAGCUUUUGUUUUAGCUUUUUGAGACAGAGUCUAUUGGUGAAAUUAUUAAGGCCACUCCACGUAGUUAAAAGGGAGGUUUAUUUAGUGGCAUAACUUACAAAUGAAGGGAUAGGUAGGUUGCAGGGUCUGGGGAAGAUGUAGCGCAGUCCGACAGUGUUCUCUGGAGAACUCUGCUUGGUCUACCUCUAGUGUCCAGGGUCCAGGAACCAAGAGAAGGCAGCGCAUCCGGAUCUUGGGUCUUUAGAAUCCUCUCUUGGCCCUGCCUUGUAGGCGUGACAGUUACCGAAGCCUCAAUGGGGGUUGGAACUUCCAGAUCAAAGCUGGAAUGGCUACCCACUACAUCUCCCCCUUUUGUCUAAAUAAGAAAGUUCUAACUUAAUACAAGACUGUAUACAAAGGAAUGGUUAUCAAAUAUUGUCCAGGAAUAAUGAGGGAUAAUGACCUAGACAAGAUGGAACUACAAUCAAUGUGAACAAUAUUAAGCAAGAAACACAUACUAAAAUCCAGAGAAGUCUAGAGUGUAGGUAAAUGGUAUGUUACAAAGAUCAUUUUAAAAGGUGUCUUAUCCUAAAGAACCUGAAUCUAAUACUUAAUAUGUUCUAUCUAAGAUAUUAUAUUUAUUUAUUUAUUUUUCAAUUUUACUUUGGUGGUGGGGGAUGCUACAAGGGUGAAGGGCAGACAUGGAGGGACUGGGAAUGAGUGGGAUUGGGGUGCAUGACGGGAAAUUCCCAAAGAAUCAAUAAAAAAUUAUUUUAAAAAAACAUAAGGAAAGAAACCAGUAAAACAAACUUCAAAGAAUAAAGUGAGAUCAUCUGGUUAAAUUGGCAAAACCAAACCAAACAAAAGCCCAAGCAAACCAAAGUAAUUGGUCAGGAAAAAAAAUAAAGCCCUGACCUACUUUUUAAAUAGUAACAGUCAAUGCCUACAGGGUGCUGUGUAACUUCGUACUCUUAAGAGUAGAGUCAAGGAGCCAAACUCUCUUGUGUAGGCAGAAGUUUCAGGUGAGAAGCAGAAAGUCUCUGAUCUUGAAGAUGCACUUCUCAUAGAAGACGAUGAAAGACGUGGUAAAUGACUGAAGAUAAGUCGUGCACAGAUUAAACAGAGCAACAAGGAAAAGGUGUGAGAGGAUGAGAGUGGAACAGUGUGUAAUGACGUGUGGCUUGUAAAUGCUUAUUACUGAACACCCGAGAAACAUGGGCUGGAAGGAGAGGGGGACGGCCGAAGGGAAAACAAGGUUGACAGUUGUGUUGUAAGCAGUCCUGACAUAAAAUAAUAACAUUUAAGGCGGCAAAUGGGGAAGUAGAGAAGUAAGCCUCUAUAUGACUCCAAAUCUAAGCACUAUAAAAUAACGCGUGAUUAGAAUUGGAUGGUGGAGAAAAUGGAGGAAACAAGAGAAGCUGAGAAGAAAUAGAAAAAAAUUCUCAAAAGGAGGUAUCCCUUAAACUGUCACCAGGACCUGGUUUUAAAACUGCCCGUUUGUAUAGAAUCUACUUGGUGCUGUUUAAACUAUUAUAACUCAGUAACAAAAGCGUAAGAAUAUGUCCAAAUUUAUUUUAUGAAGUGGGUACAAUAGCAAUAUCAAAACAAUGAAAGCUAAAAAAAAGUGCAGACCAGUUUCACUAUUAAAUACUGAUACAGUUAUAUUAUAUGAAAUAGAAGCAAAGAAUAUUUAGCAGUAUAGGGUUGUGGGGUAUCUUCCAGAGAAGACUGCUUGGACAUGGAUUUAAGUCAAUAAAAAGUCUUUAUUAGCCAGCCAGUGACUACAUUGGGUGUUCAGGAUCCCAGUGUAGCACUGAGCCUUUUUUAGGGUGAGCUUUUGAGCACAAAACCAUGUUCUGGGUUGAUAUUCUUCAGUUGAGAAGAACAGUUAGCCAGAAAUGGAGCAGCAGAAGUAAAAAAACCAGGUCAGUACAUCUAGAGACUUUCCCAGAACUACAGACCUUGAAGGAAUUAGGUCUUUGUUUUCUAUUUCGGCUGGUGGUGCUGUCUACGUGUUGUGUCUUAUGGCCUGAGUAGUCCUUCCAUCAUGGAGUCAGUUGUGCUAAGGUCUGGGGCCCUGUUACUUAGUAAAAGAAUAGCAUCAUAACCAAAUAUGUUUUAUUACCCAAAGAUGUUCUGAUAUUCGUAGUAUAAAUUUAAGAUGACAUGUAAAAUUUUAUAUAGAUUUCAGGAGAUAACUUACACCAUGUCUAUAGACACUGAAAGAGCAUUUGACAAAAUCCAAUCUCCAUUUUUAAGAGAUCAGAAAGGGGGGAAUUGAUGCAUUAACUAUACAUUGCAUCUGUGUGUAGAGAUGUAUAUGUACAGAUAUUUAUACAUGUAUUCACAGAUAAGCAUACGUUUGUGUGUCACAAUCACCCAAAUACAAUUUUACAAAAUCAGUAAAUUUUCUCACUAACGUCAGGAACAAAAUUAUAAUGAUACUCAUUUUCACCACUGUCACUUAGCAUUGGAAGCAAUAGCUAGAACAACGAGAUAAGACAAACUAAAAGAUUUAAAAUUGUAAGACUAGCCGGGCGGUGGUGGCGCACGCCUUUAAUCCCAGCACUCGGGAGGCAGAGGCAGGCGGAUCUCUGUGAGUUCGAGGCCAGCCUGGACUACCAAGUGAGUUCCAGGACAGGCGCAAAGCUACACAGAGAAACCCUGUCUCGAAAAACCAAAAAAAAAAAGAAAAAAUUGUAAGACUAGGAACAGAGAAGACAAGCAACGAUUUGAGUACCUAGAAAGUUCUUGGCGAGGGAGACGGCUCAGUAAGUAAAAUGCUCGCCCUUCUAGCAUAAGGACCUGAGUUAGAUUUCCUUAACUCAUUCGGAAAAGCCUGGAGGGCAUGGUCACAAGCAAGUGGGGGUGGGGACUAGGGAAGCAGGAGGUAGGAGGAAGCCUGGUUUGCUGGCUAACCAGCUUAGCUUACUUGGUGAGUUCCAUUCUAGGCCAGUGAGAAACCUUGUCCCACUUCUCGGCCUCCCUCCCCACAAAGAAAAGGAAAGACAGAAAAAAGAAAGGGAGGGAGGAAGGAACGAAGGAAGGAAGGAAGGAAGGAAGGAAGGAAGGAAGGAAGAAGGUAGGUCCUGAGGAAUAACACCCAAAAUUGUUUUCUGAUCACCACAGGUAUGUAUAUACACACAUCUACACACAGAGAAAUGCACACACAUCUUCAUACACAGAAACACACACACAGACACACACUCACUGGAAACUGGAAAAUUCCAAAAUAAUCUAUUGAAAAAUAAUUAGAAAUCUCAGAAAGGUAUUAGAAUAUGAAAUUAAUAUGCACAAAUAAAUCACUUAAGCCAACUAAAUAGAAGGUGGAUAUGAAGACUAGAUCCUUUUCACAAUAGUGGUAGAGAGAUAAAUGUUAACAAAUUAUUAGAAUGUGUUUUUGUAGCUUAUAGGGGAGUCCAGUGAGUUAGGAAACUCAGAGAUUUGUCAUUCGUCAGAAAGAUGGUUAAAUCUUAUGAAUCUGGUACAUCUUUCCUUGCACACACACACAGAAACAGCACUGGUUGUUCAGUACAUUCCCUUCUCUCAAGGCUGGGGCCACAUGCAGGCAGUUUGGCUCCAUCGUGAGCAGCUAAUGGAGAAACAUGAAACUUAAGAGAUGCUGGCUAUACCCUCUCUGCUCCAUUUGCUUGUACCAGAGGCAAAUGAUGAUAUGCAGGAUCUUAAAUGGAGUGAUCAUUGCACUGCAGUUCAGGCCAAAUUCGCCAGACUGUAACACCCCCCCCCCCACACACACACACACCCGUGCUUGUGCACCGAGAAGGAAGCCUGACAGUUCAGUGCACACUGCAUGAUGUGUAAUCCAUUUGCUGAGAGGAGGUGCAGCCCAGUGCCCUGCCCCUCUCUGCGUGGCCCAGGCCAUCCCAUGUGCACAACAGUCUGGCUCCAGGUGUGUUGAUAUACUUCAGUACCUUCUACAAUCAGGAUCACCCUCUGGGUACGUCUUGAUGCCCAAGGUCCUGUAGUCUGAACUUUAAGACCCAAGGUGAGCAGAGAAGCUUGCUCCACCCAGGAGCGUAAGUGUUGCCUCAUUCAGCUUCUCUGGUCCCGUAUCACCCUCUCCCUAUUUAUUUCUAAGGAAAUGAUAGUCUGAGAAUAUUCUUGGAGAAUUUACUACAAAUGAUCAUAACAGAACAUCCAGAUUAUUUUCAAAGCAGUAUUUACCGUUAAAUUAUAUCAUCAGUGAGUUAAUUGUAACACUGUAGUAAAAGCCUUUCCAAAUCUGGUAUGCUUAGAAGCAUGCACAGGACUUUCUAAAAAUAUUUUUGUUUUUUUUUGCAGGCUGCAUCCCCAGACAUAAGUCCAGUUCACGCUCACAUGUUUGAAGCUGGUACAAUAAAAGUAUUUUUAGUAGUUCUAUCUUCUGGCUCUUCUAUGAGCAAUAAUUAGACUUAUCACACACCCUCAUCCACAUGGAAAGCAGGUAUGGUACAGUAGAAAUGUAGAGCUGAAAAAAGAACCUUCCUUUUAAGGGAAGAAAUCUGUAGACACCGUACUCUGCCACGGGAUCCCAGGGAACAUUGUAGGUCUUUGGAGAUUCAGUUUCUAAAGCACCACUCCUUAAGAUUUUCGUAACAAAUAUACUCCUUUUGUUGUUUUCCCAGGGACAAAUGAAGAAGCGACGUAUGACUUUGAUAUCUUGGGCAUCAUUGAGUCACUUAAGGUGUUUUGCCUGCAUGUAUGUCUGUGGACCGUGCGUGUGCAGUGUGCAAGUGGUCCAGAAGAGGGUGUUGGACCUCCUGGGACGACAGUUACACACGGCUCUGAGCUGCCAUAUUUAAAAAAUAAUUCUGCUCAAAGGCCCCUGGUUCCUGUGUCUGAAGUUCAUGGUGUCUUCAGCAACAGCGACUUAACCUUCCGUGUCUCGGGGCAGGGAGGGCGGCAACCCAGGGCUAUAGCAACAGACUGAUGUUUGGGGAGUCUCUUGGAGAACUUUGACUUACAACUCAAAAUAAUAUUUCUCAUGCAUGUUGUUAAGGUUUUUUUUUUUUUUAGAUUGUCAAAUAAAUUAGACAAUUUUCAAAAGACACGCAAUAGGAAAUAAAUGCAUGAAAAAAUGUUUAACAUCUUUAGGCACCAGAAAAUCAAAUCUACAUUGCAAUUCCAUCUGUCCCAGGUUAGAGUAGCUAUAUUUAGGAAAACAAACAAUAACAAAUACUUAUGAGGCUAUGGCACAGGAUGGGCAUGGGGGUGACAUGGGGGAGAUAUAGUGGUGUGGUGGUUGGGAGUAGGAAGCAGGAGAGUGGAGGAUGGAACAGAAUUUUCCACACUUUCCACAUUGCUGGUGGCAAUGUAGUUAGAGAAGCUACCACAGAAAUUAGUAUGAAGGCUCCUCAAAAACUAAAAAUGGAACUAUAAUAUGAUCCAGAUCCAAUACUUCUAGGUAUAUAAACAAAGAAAUGAGCAUUAUCACAUAAUAAAGAUGCUUGAAUAUC